rnacentral:rRNA from 1 species
GCAGCGGGGGGGAGGACGGCCUUCGGGUUGUAAACCUCUUUCAGCCCCGACGAAGCGAGAGUGACGGUAGGGGUAGAAGAAGCGCCGGCCAACUACGUGCCAGCAGCCGCGGUAAUACGUAGGGCGCAAGCGUUGUCCGGAUUUAUUGGGCGUAAAGAGCUCGUAGGCGGUUUGUCGCGUCUUCCGUGAAAACUGGGGGCUUAACUUCCAGCUUGCGGUGGAUACGGGCUGACUGGAGUGCGGCAGGGGAGACUGGAAUUCCUGGUGUAGCGGUGAAAUGCGCAGAUAUCAGGAGGAACACCGGUGGCGAAGGCGGGUCUCUGGGCCGUUACUGACGCUGAGGAGCGAAAGCGUGGGGAGCGAACAGGAUUAGAUACCCUGGUAGUCCACGCUGUAAACGUUGGGCGCUAGGUGUGGGGGACUUUCCACGUUCUCCGUGCCGUAGCUAACGCAUUAAGCGCCCCGCCUGGGGAGUACGGCCGCAAGGCUAAAACUCAAAGGAAUUGACG